rnacentral:rRNA from 1 species
CCCUUAGAUGUUCUGGGCCGCACGCGCGCUACACUGACGGAUUCAACGAGCUUACAACCUUGGCCGAAAGGUCUGGGUAAUCUCCAAAAUCCGUCGUGAUUGGGAUAGAUGAUUGCAAUUUUUCAUCUUCAACGAGGAAUGCCUAGUAAACGCAAGUCAUCAGCUUGCAUUGAUUACGUCCCUGCCCUUUGUACACACCGCCCGUCGCUCCUACCGAUUGAAUGAUCCGAUGAAUAUCAUGGAUUGAGGAUGCAAGUAGGUUCGCCUAUCUUCAUCUUCGAGAAGUGAAGUAAAUCUUAUCAUUUAGAGGAAGGAGAAGUCGUAACA